rnacentral:rRNA from 1 species
AUUGAACGCUGGCGGCAGGCCUAACACAUGCAAGUCGAGCGCGCGGCGGACGGGUGAGUAAUGUCUGUGAAACUGCCUGCUGGAGGGGGAUAUCUCCUGGAAACGGUAGCUAAUACCGCAUACCCUCUGAUGUGCCCAGAUGGGAUUAGCUGGUAGGUGGGGUAACGGCUCACCUAGGCGACGAUCCCUAGCUGGUCUGAGAGGAUGACCAGCCACACUGGAACUGAGACACGGUCCAGACUCCUACGGGAGGCAGCAGUGGGGAAUAUUGCACAAUGGGCGCAAGCCUGAUACAGCCAUGCCGCGUGUGUGAAGAAGGCCUUCGGGUUGUAAAGCACUUUCAGCGGGGAGGCGUUACCCGCAGAAGAAGCACCGGCUAACUCCGUGCCAGCAGCCGCGGUAAUAC